UCUUGGUUCUGAAGUUGGCGCGCAGAGGAAGGCAAUGGAGAAUUUUCUCGAAGACUGAUGUGAUUUUUACACGAUUGCACUCACCAUUCAAGCUCAUGCAAGAUCAAGAAUGAGUUCAGAAGGAUAACCACAAUUCCCCUGGAGCCAACCUUUCUGCAAAAACUGGACCUCUACACUCCAAAGCUCCUGGAUUUGUUUAAAAUGAAGGGAGGGGAUGCAGGCAUAAAAAUUAGAAGUGUGCUAGAUUCACUCAGCCAGAUAAAUCAAGUUGAAGAUAAGCGAGAUGCUGUGAUUCGCUGCCUGCUUCCCUACCUGGGAGAAUCAUCUGAGGAGCUCAUUGAAGCCUACCAGGUAGUCUGACAACAGUUGGUGCUCCACAGAUUUGGUCUCACCAUCGAGUCUGUCUAUUAUAAUAUGAAGAAAGAGAGAGGUUGCAUCAGGAAGGGCAUCCGGCAUAAAACUUGUGCCAAAUCAAAUAUAUGGAUCACA